rnacentral:lncRNA from 1 species
GGAAGAUUGGAGGCUGUGACCUGAGUGAGAUAUUAGCAAGGUGAAGCAACCCUGCUAGAUGACAAUGUCCAAUCUGAGGCCAUUGGUGUGAAAUGCUGAAAUGUAUAGGAGGUGGACAUCUUUGGAACUGAUGAGGUCUCCAAGGAAAUGGAACAUUAGCAGUAUCUGUUAUGUUGUCCCUAUGGCUCCCUCAAGAAGGUAGGAAGAACUGUUUGUGUCAAAGAUUCAAAGUGUCUAAGAAGAUGGCCAACGAGAUGAGUAAGAGACAGCUUAACAUGACUACAAACGACGAAAGUGCCUGGGAUGCAAUGAAUGUUUAAUGAAUGAAGAGAGGAAACAAAACAAGGAAGAGAAGAAAGGAAGAUAGCACAGAAGGGCCUGAAUUCUAAAGAAAACAUAAGUUUACAAUUUUUUAAAGUAAAACGAAAUGAUGUCACAAUAGGGUAAGUGGGGUCCAUAAAACUCAAUGCUGUGAGGUAUAGAGUUAUGAUUCUAAAAAGUUAUUGAAAUUAUAUUUUAAAUUUUUAAACAUUUGUAUUUAUUAAAUGUAUGGCCAAGUGGCUAAUUAGUGACCUAACUGAAGUCACCUAGCCCUCCCAAAAAAGCAAGUACUAUAAGGGGCAACCUCCCCCAAAAGAAAUACAGUUGUAGUGAG